AAGUAUCUGACACAGGAGGACUUCAAACCUGUACUUAGAGAACUUUUGGCAACUCAUCCAGGACUGGAGUUCUUACAAAGUACACCUGAAUUUCAAGAAAGAUAUGUUGCCCCUUCUAGGAUGUCUCUGAUAAUAUUGGAACUACACAGAGAAGAUAGCAUUGCACCUAUACCAGAAUUAUAUAUAUAAAUUGAGUAGUGAUCCAAUUUUUUAUGUUAC